CACGAGCUCUAAUGCUGCAAUCAGACUGCACGUGCUCACUUCAGGAAGCAGAGGGAGCUGUCUGAUGGCAAUUACAGCUCUUACAGCCAGAGAGCCAGGUCACAAUUAGCAGUCUGGGACUUCACAUCAUAGCUUGCAUAAAGACAGGCCUUGUAUGCUCGGGAAGACAAAAGAAGACCCCUCACAUUAUACUUGGGAAAAUCCUCCACACCUCUUCUUGUGAAGUUGUAGGCUAAUAGAAGAGCCAUGAUGAUCAAAACAGGAUGAAGAAAUAUAGUACCCCUGAAACAUAACUGAGUCAGGUACAAGUAAUAGACUUUUAAAGUGCAACCAAGAUAUGUGAACACAGUGAGUUAUCAGCACACCUACUGGCAAAUUAAAACAAUGACUUAUUAAGAGUCCUGGUUAUAAUGUAUUAGUAAAAGUAAUUUUUUUCAUAGAUAGGAAAUCCUGCUGUAAUCAGAACAACUGUGGUUCUUUGGUUCAGCACUGUUAAACCCAGCAUAUGGAGAUGUCAUCCUGCUGCCCAGUGAAGCUGUACUCCUCGAGAUAAUCAAGAGCUGUGCUAGCAUGUUUAGUGAUGGCCAUUGCUGUGCGCCUGGCAGGAGAGUGAAUCACCUGGAAGAGUCAGUCAAUAAGGGACUCCUCUUCAGAGGCUGCUCACAGCCAGAAAAUACAACAAGGAACCAGAAAAAGCCUCACACUAAUGGAAAUAAAGAGUUUAUCUAGUGGUAAGGCUGGAUGUAUACCCACAAGAACAAAUGUCAGUCUUACCCUGCGGGCAGCCUUCCCAAAAAUAAAGGAAGAAGCUUAAUUGAGAUUAAUGGCCUUUUUUGCUGAGGCCUGUGGGAAGUCCUAAUAAGGCAAUGUGUUAAACAGUGAAUGUAAUUUAUAAUACAUGCAAACUUUAGAAGAUAUAAAUAACAUAUGACACUGAAUGAGAAAUGUCUUAUGCCUUUCUCAUGUUGUUUUUAGAGACACUUUCACCUGUUGGAUUUAAAGUAGGAUUCAAGUUUCUAUUUUUUGGAAGGCCAGCAUGCCUGCUUUAUGCACCAGCACAGUUGAAACUCUUAAUGAUGUCACAGUGAGCAGACAUGGCUUCCAACCAGCUUACACUGUGGUCACAGAUGAUAGACUUCCAUAAUCUAAGCUAAAGUAAUUGUACUUACAUUAGUGUUGAUUUUGCCUGUAGUGACAUUUUUUCUAGGUUUUCUUGAAUGUUAAACCUAGUUUUUCUCAAUUUCCUAUCACCUUACAUCUUUGUGCUCCAUCAGUCGUGACACAACACCUUUCCACAAAAACAAGGCCGAAAAUUUUUACACAGUAAUUCCUGCAUCAAGCCAACUAUUCUUAGAUGAACCAGACUGGUAUCCUGUAAAAAAGUAUGUAAUUUGAGAAUUUCAUAUGAUAGAGGUUUAAUAAUUUGUAUAAACAUCCAACACACACACAUACAUUCAAGGGUAAGGGAAAAUAAUUUACUAUUUCCUUCACUAUAUGUUUGUUUAAUAUUAUACUUCAACUGUCCUGAAAAGUCCUACACAAAACAGUCAUCAUCGUGCAAAACUUAAUUUUUUCCGAUACACACUGAGUAUGUAAGGCAUGUACAUGUUCUUUUCAUUUAUACCAAGACACAUAAAUGCACUCACAAAUACACAUCUCAAGUAUACAAUCUGAAAUAAUUACAUUCAGAUGCUGAACAGAGUACUUAUACAUAGCAGAAAUAACUCAAGGUCUUUAAUACUUUGUCUUCAGCUUUUUUCUGUUAUCAUCAUUAUGAAACAAUGUUCCUUUUUUCCUCAGUAGAUAGAUCUAUUAAAGCAGAGAAACAGAACUUUAUUUUUACCAGGUCUGCUUAUAAUCUUCAUCUUGCAUCUUACCUUUUCUUCCAACUAAAAUUUUAAUUUUGCUUUGUCCAAAAGUCUGAUUCUUUCAACUGCUCUAAUGAAACACAAAUCCCUCUGUUUUGUAGCAAUCCUUCCUUUUACCCUUUGCUUUCAGACAGUGCUUGCAUCUUCUCAUGUCUUCCUCACUUAGUUGCUGUUCUUGAGUGAGCAAUACUCCCAGUUCAUGUAUCGUCACCCUCAGCACAACUGUCAUAACUUGCAUAUCAUAAAACACUGCAGAAGAAAUUCAGGCAGGUGUAAUUCUGUCGACCACAGAGAGCUGUACUAACUGCAAACAGUCUUGUUGUGGUCCUAACAUUUUACUGAACAGUCUGUGCAUAAGCUGAACAUUCCUUAAUACUCACACCACACAAUCAUCUUCCAUAAUUUUUAGUGCUUUACAUGAUGGCAUUUGUAUGCUACACUAAUUGACUUAAUAAGCUUUUUUGCAUUUAUUGUUCUCAUGACUAAUUUGCUUCAUAAAAGAUUUAACUUGGAAAUAAAACUGUUCUUAAGAAAACCUAUCCCACUUGAAGGAUGUUCAUCCUACCCUAAAGCAAUCAAAAUCAAAUUUCCUAUAUACUGUUAAAAUCAAUGACAGUUCUAUGGAUAAUGCAUAGAACAGCAAUUAAUCCUAAUUUAUCUAUACAAUGAAAAAAAAUAAUUAUAUACUUUUAUGGAUUCAAAAUGCACUCUUAUUUUUCAAUCUAUUUGGUAUAAAAAGCCCCUAAAAUUAUUAUAUCUCUUACAAGGGAAUGGUGGGUUACCCCAAAAUAUGGUCUAGAAUCCAAAAGCACGUUUUUCAUAUUAUGCACAGUACUAAUGUCUCAGCAAUCCUGUCCAAACUGACCAAGGUUCUGUGCUUGUGGUUCUUCCUCAGUCUCUGUUGGUACAAGCUCACAUUCAAUUCACAAUUGAAAUUAAAUAGUUGCCUUAGCAUUUGCCUUACUGUUUUUAAGGUGAGGGAUAAUGUUACAUGGCUUUUGUCUCAUAUUUUUAAGGAAACAAAAGAUCUCACAAAAAUUAUAUGAGACAAAUCAGUCAUUUUUAAGAUAAACUUUUAUUGAAAAAUUAAAACUGCAUUGCAUAACUUCUUUAUAACUUCAACAUUUCUUAAACCACAAAACAGAGAUUCUGUUUAAAAAAUCUCUUCAUAUUUGUCACCAUUCAAAAAACAGAUUAAGAGCUUACUCCAUGAUGAUUUUAAAAUUCUGGAUUAUUCCCAAGGCCCCUGCUUCUAGCUGUGUGUGUGUGUACCAUGAAUGGUAUCAUUAUCAUCUAUCUUCUCUAUAAAUUACUUUUAAUAACACAAUCAGAAUUUUUCUCAUUCAAAAUCACCAGCUGCUCUUGAUUUUUAUCCAGUGGUCAGUCUUUUCCAAAUAAAUUGUAUCAGUUGAUAAGCACUGCAGCUACCUGUAUAGGUAAGAUCUUGCCUAUUGUUUAAUUCACCCAUGCAAAGUUACAGUGAUUGUCUGUGUAAUUUUAGGGACAAAAUUGCUACUUCUGAGUAUAUUUUAAACCUCUGAAAAACAAAGUUGCUCACCUGGAAUUAAAAUGCUUCACAUUAGUCAAUACUUCGAAAUAUCCAUACAUCUUAAUCUCUCAUAGUCAAUAGCAUAUGGAUUAAAAAGAAGGAAAAUUCUAGGUCAGCAUUAGUCUGAGAAGUGUGGCAUAUUACUCAGAUGGAAAUGACCUAAUAAGAAAACAGAUGAGUUUUCUCACUAAUGACUAUAACUGCUCUGUUGAAAUCAGCUAUCCAAGUCAGAAAUUAAUAUGAGCAUGGUGCCUGUUGAACACAGUAUAUGUAAUAGGAAAACACCCCAGAAUCUGAUACUAGAAUGAAAAGCUUUGCAAAAGUGUAAUUGUGGUCAUCUGUGUCAAGACACAACACAGCAGAAAAGCAAGAUAAAUGCAGAGAGUAGAAAGAUAAGCCCUCUGUCUUUAGAGACAACACCUAUGCAUUAACUGUCUCACUUCCAAAACAAGCAGGAGGAGCUCCCUUAUUCCCACCUAGCUGCAAACCAUCAAUGACAAUAGGAAGAAUGUCAUGCUUUUGACCUUCAAAACACGAGUUACUCCAUGAAAUGAAGAAGCAGAAAUUUUAGUUAGCAAAACAUUAUAUAUGCACUGAAGAGCUCUAGAUCUGUGUCUGACUACAUCACAGAACUGUCAGGGGCUUGCUGUAUGAAUGCCAGUCAGCUGUAUUAUGGUCUUUCCUACAGCUUCAUGAUUAGGAUGAAGAUGAUUCUCUUCACCUAGUUUAUAUGCAUCAAGGAGAAUUAACAUCUCAGAUAAAUUAAACUAUUAUUAGAAUAUUGAGAUGGUGAUCUGGAUACAGGGUGCAUGAGGUUAAAAUAUUAAAAUUAGAGGAUUAGAGGCAAGCUAGAGCUUUAGUAAUACUGUUAUUGACAAGGGAGGUGGAGGAAAUCAGAAACUCCCAUCUAAGAACCGGUGAAAAUCAUAAGAACCAUGCUGUUUGAGUGGAAGACACAAAAUCCUCUAGUGAAGCUAAGUCACCAGUUAUAUCUCUUUGGAUUAAUUAUACUAGUUCAUAUUGU